rnacentral:sRNA from 1 species
CCUCGGCGACGCCACUUCCUGCCCGAAGAAGGGGCAUGGCGACAACCCCAUCGCCAGCGGCUCGCCCGAUGU